UACGUAGGGCGCAAGCGUUGUCCGGAAUUAUUGGGCGUAAAGAGCUCGUAGGCGGCUUGUCGCGUCUGUUGUGAAAGCCCGGGGCUUAACCCCGGGUCUGCAGUGGAUACGGGCAGGCUAGAGGCAGGUAGGGGAGAACGGAAUUCCCGGUGUAGCGGUGAAAUGCGUAGAGAUCGGGAAGAACAUCGGUGGCGAAAGCGCUCUACUGGACGGUAUCUGACACUGAGGGACGAAAGCUAGGGGAGCGAAUGGG
rnacentral:rRNA from 1 species